GGAAAUAGCUCAGUGGUAGGGUGCAUGCUUAGCAUACAUGUGGUCCUGGGUCCAAUCCCCAGUACUUCCA
rnacentral:tRNA from 1 species